GGUGAGUGGCCGAGUGGGGGACUAGGGUUUCACACUUACAUUUGAUUUCUCUCUUCUCUGCGCUACGACUCUGCGAAUCGUCGACGCCAGUCACGCCACGCUGAGUCUCUGCCUCUCGGCCCUCUCCCUCAGAACAGCCUCUCGGAUCCGAUCUAGGUCUCUCUUCGUCUCUCGUCGUCGUCACUCGUCAUUGGCACACUGCCUCUCUCAGGGUCUUAGUCCCUCUCGAACUCUCCGUCUCUCGACUCUCACUCUCUCAAUCUUCGCGAGAAGCCGACAAGCUCACCAGCCACCUUCUCAGUUCUCGCUUUCGCUCGAUCUACGCACGCAGCGCUGCUUUGCUGCACCACUUCUGCGGCUCUGCCUCCCUCCCUUGUCCUCUCAAGUCUCAACUCUCAAGCAGCUGAGCACCUAAGGACUUCCACGUGAUUGAGUUCAGUGAGCUUGGGACUGGCAUAGCACUUUUGAGAGAGAGAGAGGGUAUAGACUUUUGAUGUAUAUUUUGGGUUCGUUUAAGUUUUCUAAGAUGCAUAUAUUUGUGAAUACUGAAUGUUGGAGAAUACUUUUUGGGUUAUGUAUAUAAAACUCUGGUAUGUUAUAAAGGAUGUUAGUUUAUUUU